rnacentral:lncRNA from 10 species
AUUUCAAAGACCUGUAGAAUUUCAUCUCUAGUUUCCCAGGCAACUAUUACAUGUCACUCAUAGAUGUUCCGAAGCAUACAGGUAAUAUUCCAUCUCAUCACCUCAAUGUUAAAUCCAGAGAAAGACAAAUGAAAUGGGUGCCAAUAAAUCCUCAAGGCUGCAGAGAUAAAAGAAAAGAAUGAAAAUCCAGGAUGCAACAAUCUAUUCUACUAUCUAAUCUCCCUUUUUCCACUCUUUGUUUUCAUUUUUUUUUAAUGCUGCUCUGAGAGAUCCAAAAUUAGACAUGAAUUUUCUUGAAGGUUAAGUCUUCUUUUUGCAUUUGUUUCCAGGACACACCUGACCCUCACAUACAAGAAACACUGCCUUCUGCAGGGAAAAGAUUCAACAAUUCCAAGUCCGUCAUCUAAGAUCCUUUACUCUCUUUUCUCUACAAGAUAAGAAUAAAAUUCAAUCACGGACCUAAACAAUAACUUGGAGAUAACUUCAAGCCAGAGAUGGUAGCUUUGCUCAUAGUUGCUUUGGAUGGUAAUCAAAUGAGACUUUCGUUUAUGUCACAGAUGGAAGCUUGCAAGUCAAAACAUUCAAAAGAAAUGAAGAUUUCUACAUACCCAAGAACUAAUGAGCUAGCCAGUGAGUGAGUCAUUAUCCAUUUAUGUCACAGAUGGAAGCUUCUAAGUCAAAACAUUCAGAAGAAAUGAAGAUUUCUACAUACCCAAGAACCACUCAGCUAGCCAGUGAGUGAGUCAUCAUCCCUCACUUGGCCUGCUCUUUGGCUCCAUACUGGCUUCUUGGCUCCUGUUCUUUACCUGCUACAGUUUUUGUCCACAUAGUAGCCAGAAUGAUUCUAUUGAAAUGAAACAGACUAUGUCAUUUAAGCUCAAAAACCUCGAACAACUUUUCAUCUCACUCAGAAUACUAUGAUUGUGUGGAACCCAUAUUAUAUGACCUCUGGCUAACUUGAUUGAAUUUAUACCUCACCAUUCUUUCCUUCUCAAAGUUCACUCCAUCAGCCCUGACUUUUUGGUGGUGAAACCAAGUAUGCUUCCAUUCACUGCCUCUGCACCUACAUAGCUUCUGCUUGUGAAGCUCUUCCUGGAGACAUUUACUUGGCUCACACUCUCCAAUCAAGUCUUUGUUAGAAUGUCCCUUAUUUGCGUGUUGCUCCUACCUAAUCUUUAUAAAAUGGCACCCUUUGCAUCACUCUCCAUCCCUUAACCAUUUUUUCCUAGCUUUUUUUUUUUCCCACAGCAUUUGUCAUCAUUGGAAAUACUGCAUAACCAUUUAUUGUCUAUCAUUGCCAAUUACAAUGUGAGUUCCAUGACAUUUGGAACUUCCUUUUGCUUGUUGCUAUGUCCCAGAACCUAGAGCAGUGUCUGAUACUUGAUAGGGAUUAAAUAACUCCUUAGUCUUGAUCAUGCACAGAGAAGCACAUAUGUCUCAGAUAAUCUCAGCUAAGAGCAGACUGAAGUCUCCUAAUAUUAGAACCAUUACCGACUUUUGUACUUUUCUAGGAACUAGUAUUUAGCAAAAUAAACAAAAUAUCGAAAAGCAAAAACAAAACUAAUGAAAGAAUAAUGUCACUACGCUUUCUCCAGCAUUUCAUUCAAACACAAUUAUAACUGGGGCAAAAUAGUAUUUACCCUCCAAGAUGCCUCUAUGUUAGAGUCAACUAAAAUUCACUUUUUAAGAAAGCUCAAGACCCUACUCUCUUCCUUCAAAAUGUUUUCUAUGAAUCACUUGCAAUUUGAUAUAUUAACAAAAGAAACAAAUUAAAAUUUACAUUAUACCACUUCUGGGCACUGGGGACAAAGCUUUCAAUUUUGAUGUAAUUGACUAUGCUGUGAUUCUUUGGAUGCUAGAUGACGAGUUAGUGGGUGCAGCACACCAGCAUGGCACAUGUAUACAUAUGUAACUAACCUGCACAUUGUGCACAUGUACCCUAAAACUUAAAGUAUAAUAAUAAUUAAAAAAUUAAUUAAUUAAAAAAAAUUAAAGAAAAUUAAAAAAAAAGUUUAGAGGCAGUCUCAUACUGUUUCCCAGGCUGGAGUACUAUGGCAUGAUCAUAGCUCACUGCAGCCUCAAACUCCAGGGCUCAAGUGAUCUUUCUGUUGGAACUACAGGCAUGUGGCACCAUGCCUGGCUUAUUGAAAAAAAACUUUUUUUCAGAAGGGGGGUCUGGCUAUAUUGCCCAGGCUGGUCUUGAAUUCUCAGCCUCAGGGGUCUCCCUACCUCAGCCUCCCAAGUAGAGAAUGUUUCUUUAAGCUCAUAGUACAAAUAUCUAGCAUAUUAAUAAUGUCAAUACUCUAACUACAUUUUGACCUUUGACUUCAUCUAUCUAAUUAAGAAAAUUUAAUCUUUGAAAUGAACUAGUUUCUGUUCAAUGGUCCGGAAAAAUAAAUGCAAAUGAUAUAUUAUCAAGUUACCUAACGUUAUUAUGCUUUCAGAGGUUUAUUUCAUUUGAAUUUUUG